AUAUUCUGAAUAUUCCUUUUUGCACAGGUGUUGGAAGGUUGCGAUCAGGUAGUGAGAGUGAACAACGUGUUAGUAUGAGAGUGCAUCGUUCAGGGACUUCCAAUGCCCAAACGCCUGAGCUUUCUCGUCCUGCUGAUCGAUGUGUAGAGGAAUGGGCAAACAGUGUUAGUCCUCCUGUCUCUGGAGGUGUGAUUCGUCGAGGGUCUGCAGGCAAGGAGGGAACCUUUCGUUAUCCAGCAAAAAAAUGAGAAUGAGAACGAGAACCUAGCUGGAUUGAAGUGAUAUAAGGCAGUGUUCUACAUAAUUCAGUAGAAAGCUGUUGCUUUAUAGUGGUAUACUCCACAACUUUAGGACUGAAAGAAACAUGUGAUGGGCUUUCAUGUGCAGUAAAUAGUUGUAUUGACACUUACUCAUGGAGUGCAAGUGACGUGUUAGUCAGCUGUGAAAACUUUUUAUGAGUCUGCAAAGCUCAAGCUAAUUUGCAGACAGGUAAACUAUAGAAUGUGGUGAGACAAUGUAGACUGGAAGCCAGGGCCUUAAUAAAUAGUAUUUAUGGAAUUCUCUAAUACUGUAUAAACUCCACUUGAGAUUUUAAUGGCAACAAGAUGCAUUGAAUGCACAUUUUUUUUAGUUAUUAGCAGUGAUUGUAAUUGAAUAUAAAUAUCAAAGGGAUCAACAGUUUGUAUUGUCCUUGAUGUGAUUUGUUAUUUUGCUUGUUUUAACACAAAUGGACAUUUAACUGUUCUUUUAAGCCUACUUUAGUGGAUAUAUGACACUAAGUUGUAUUUCAUCAGUACUAUUGAUCUCAUUGCCUGCAGGUUUUAUGGGGGCAUCUUUUAUAGUAAAAAUAUUGUGUUGACUUUCAAAAUAAUCAGACCUCAUUGACAGUAUAUAUUUGAUUUUAAAAGAAAAGGACAAAGAAAGAUCAAUCAAAAAAGUCUAACAGUUUAGCUUUCAGUUAAAAAAAAAAAAAAAAUCAGUUACACAUGUCGGAAGGAAAUGUAAAUAGUGAUGAAAGAGAAAUCUCCUUAUUUGUGAUGGAAGUGAUAGACACAGGAGUUGGAAAGAAUAAUUGUUUGGAAUGGCUCAGAGCAAAGAUAAACUUUUUUUUCUGCUUUCUGUCAUAGAUUUUCAUUACAGCAUAUCAUUGCCAUUUUGAUAACUGUAAAGUAAUGAUAAAAAAGUUUCUGCUUGAGGAGCAAGUCUUUUUUAAUAUGAUAAGUGCUUUAGGCAGUGAGUAGGGGAUGUGACCUUGUGAUGUUCAACAUCCUGUGUUUUCAUUAUGAUUUUCUAGCUAUCAGUUAAGACUCAUAUGUAAACUUUCCUGUAGAAAGCAACUAUGUAUGGCAAAUUUUAAUGCCUAAUAGAGUGGAAGUGGUAUUUGAUCACUGACAAUACUCUUGACUUAGAGAGAAGGUGAUUGGCUUACUGUUUAACUACAAAAUAGCCAUAUAUCACUUAUUCAGAACCAUUUAUGCAUUUUAUCAUUUUUUAUCUGAAAAAAUAGACCCAGGUUUCGAAGUGUAGAGUACUGCAUUUUUCUUUUUUCUUCAUAAUGGCUAUUUUGGGCAGUAUACAAAAUUUCCACAACAACUUGUGGAAUGAUUUUUUAUUUAUUGUAUAUGUAUUCUUUGCUGUGAGAACAAGAUCUGUCUCGAUUUUCAAUUAUAGAUAGAAUAAAUACAAAAUGAAAGGAAAAUGAAUUGCAGCCACUUUUGGAAAUAAAACCAAGACUAAUAUUGAUUCACAUGCCUAAAAUUCAAAUUAGCCCAAAUCAGUCUGUCAAUAGGGAGAAACUGGAUGCAUUUAUUUGCUGAACCUAUUUUUUAGUAUUUAAAAAGUUUAUUUUGCCUUCCAGUAUGCAUUUUAAUUAAGUAAAAGCAGAAAAAAAGAAGUGAUGAUGCCUUGAGAUGAUAGACAACUCAAAGAGAAACUUAGAUAUUAAAAAAUAGUUGAGCUUUUGUGAGAUUUAAAAUGUCUGAUUAUAGUGAGAACACAACUCAUCUUUGAACAUAUUCAGCUCAGCCAUCUUCUUGAUUACUUAUCAUUAUCAUUGUAUUUACCAUCAUUCAUAUCUAAAUCAAUUGAGUAAUGAUAUGUGUUCUGUGUGCUUUAUGUAUGUUGUAAGUAUUUCAAAAGAGUUACUGUGAGAUUGUCUAUGCUUAUCAGUCAGACUGUAUGAUAUUUGUGAAGUUCAGAUGUGUUAGUAUGAAAGACAUUUAGAGAAUUGUUGUUUUCAAGAGAAACAUAAUGCAAUAUUUUUGUUUGUAUGUUUUAUUAUGUCCAAAUACACACAAACACACACACCUGUAUCUGUGCACAUAUAUGCACAUAUACAUCCAUAUAUGCAUGUGCUCAUUUUCUUGACUUUUUCUUCUCUCUCCUCUCCUCUUCCUUGUCUCCCUCCCCUUUCUUUCCCAUACUCCUCUUAUCCAUUAAUCAUUAUCUCUUUUUACAUCCUUACCUCACCUCGUGUCUCUCUUCUCCUCUUCUCUUCUCUCCUUCCCUCCCUAUAUUUAUACUCUCAUUUCUCCUCAAAUCAUUCAACUAUAUAUAUAGACUUUUGCAAGCCUUCUUUUUUAUUCUUUUGGUCAUUAUUUAUCAAUGUACAGACAUUUUUCUUUCCUGUCUUUUUUAAGGUGAGUGAAAAUACUUGAAAAAAAAUCUAUACUUUUAUAUCUUAUAAAACAAAGCACAGUUACUAGUUUUAAGCUGACUUGAUGACAGGCGAUGCUGCUUUGAAACGUUUCUUUUGUACAAUUGCAAUUUAGAUGUUAUGGUGGGCCUGUAUGGUCUGAAAUUAUCUUAUAGAUAUAUGAUCAUUGGGUACAGUUCCUCCUCUUGAUUAGGAAUAAAUCACUGAUAUGAAUUACACAUAUUUCUCAUCAUUUGCUAACUGAGACAGGUCUAUUGGACAAAAUUUAUUUUAUCCUUAUUUUAUUUUCCCUUCAUUUUUAAAGGGUAUGUUUUGAUCUUGCAGAUGUUAUUUUAUAUCUGAAGCUUUCUGAUUACUGUAAUAAGUUUAAUCAGUUUUGAUAUUCAUGAGGAUGGUUUGUACUACAAUAGCACUAGUGGAAUCAAAAUUCACCCUAUGUUUCUUAAAUUGGAUUGUCUGUAAUAAAUUUAAGCCAUAGGAAGUACAUAUACCAAUUAUGGUGUGGAGUAUGUUUAAAUGAUGCUAGUGCUAAUGGAGAUUUCUGUAUAUUUGUAUUUUUGAGUCGACAAAUUUUCUCUUACGGCUCUUAAGAUACCAACUAGUGAAGUGAAAGAACUAGCUGUUCUUUCACUUCAGACAGCAAUUGGAAGCCUUAUUGCUGAAGGAGAAGUUAAGGGUCUAAGAAGACAAAUAUGCCACUAACCUUCAUAGCACUCCCUCAUCUUCCUCAUAAGUAUUUCAGGGACAUGAUGCAUAUUUAAUUACACAUUGAUAUUUUGCCUUGCUCAUAUGCCCUGCUCAUUGCAUACAACAACAAAUACUAGAUGGUAAUGACAAUAAAUUUCUGUAAGUGAAAUGGAAGAAAUAACACCAAUGAAAA